GCGAGCGAUUUACCUUACCCAUACGGUAUAUUUACCUACCUUACCUCGUUUUGUUGGCUAACUUAACUGGUGCCAAUGAAGCGCCGCCAAGCCGAACGUACUUUACUAAUUCAAAUACGUCGCUCACUCAGUGCUCUUAAUUGAGUACAACAAUUGUGAACAUUCAAUGGAUUAGUUUAUUUUAAUUAUUUCAAUUGUCAAAUAUUUGGAACGUUUAAUGAAAAGUGCAUCCACAUUUGGGCACACCUUAUUAGGCUAGGCCGCCAUUGAGCACCGACUUCAGAGCCGUAGCCAGCAACUGUCGCGCACCGUUGCAAUCUACUAGGAUUCCUUUAAAGGCUCAAAGCAACAGCUUUUACUUCGUUAACGAUACAUUAAAAAUUAAACAAAAACUGAAAAAGAAAACAAAUAAUUAAGAUGCUAUCAGAAAGUUGGCAUAAACACAAGUUCGUAUAUUCGCGAUAAACAAAUAAACUUCUGGCGCCAUAAAAGCACGCAGACACGUAGGUGAUUGAAUUUAUUUUUGGCCAUUGAUUGGGACGGGAAAAUGGUCGGUCGUCGGAACACGGCAACAACAAUUUACUGUAGAAGCAUACGGUCCGUGUUUUCUUUAUUUCGAAGGAAAUGACGAAUUGCCCUGAAGAGACCACGACAACGACGGCGGUAAAGAUUUAUAAAUGAAUUCGAACUGACUUUUGGCAUUUUGUGUUCGUUUUAUUUAUUUGUUUUGGUUGAAAUUCUAUUUUUUGCUUUUAUAUAGGUAGAUACUUUGCUGCAGCACAUGCUGCAAGGUGUGAAAAUAAA